GGGAGAGAAGAAAAGGGCAGGGGGCUGGAGAGAAUGGAGGGGGAGAGAGGAAAAGGGCAGGGGGCUGAGAGAGUGAAGAGGAAGAGAGGAAAAGGGCAGGGUCUGGAGAGAGUGGAGGGGGAGAGAGGAGGAAGGCAGGGUCUGGAGAGACUGCAGGGGGAGAGAGAAGGAAGGCAGGGGGCUGGAGAGAGUUAAGGAAGUUGGUGUGACUACAGAAGUUGGCGUGAAGAGAGGUUAUGGUUUGGAUAAGGUAUCAGAAAUUGAUGUAACUCUGCAAUGUUUCUGUGAUUAUGUACGACCCUUCAGUAGGAUCAGCUGAUAAACUGAACAAAUAAAAUACAAGAAUGUAAUUCUACUGGAUCAACUCUAGGCUACUACUGGCCAACUCUACUGCAUUCAGAUACUACAUUCAAAUCAAAUAAAAUGUAUUUGUCACAUACACAUGGUUAGCAGAUGUUAAUGCAAGUGUAGCGAAAUGCUUGUGCUUCUAGUUCCGACCAUGCAGUAAUAUCUAACAACUUAUAUAACCUAACAAUUCCACAACAACUACCUUAUACACACAAGUGUAAAGGAAUGAAUACGAAUAUGUACAUAAUAAUAUAUGAAUGAGUGAUGGCCAAACAGCAUAGGCAAGAUGCAGUAGAUGGUAAGAGUAUAGUAUAUACAUAUGAGAUGAGUAUUGUAGGGUAUGAAAACAUAUAAAGCAGCAUUGUUUAAGGUGGCUAGUGAUACAUUACAUCAGGAUGGCAAGAUGCAGUAGAUGGUAUAGAGUACAGUAUAUACAUAUGAGAUGAGUAAUGUAGGGUAUGAAAACAUUAUAUGAAGUGGCAUUGUUUAAAGUGACUAAUGAUACAUUACAUCAAGAUGGCAAGAUGCAGUAGAUGUUAUAGAGUACAGUAUAUACAUAUGAGAUGAGUAAUGUAGGGUAUGAGAACAUUAUAUAAAGUGGCAUUGUUUAAAGUGGCUAGUGAUACAUUUCAUUACAUCAAGAUGGCAGAUGCAGUAGAUGGUAUCGCGUACAGUAUAUACAUAUGAGAUGAGUAAUGUAGGGUAUGUAAAGAUUAUAUAAAGUGGCAAGUGAUAAAUUGAUUACAUACAUUUUUCCAUUAUUAAAGUGGCUGGAGUUGAGUCAGUAUGUUGGCAGCAGCCACUCAAUGUUAGUGAUGGCUGUUUAACAGUCUGAUGGCCUUGAGAUAGAAGCUGUUUUUCAGUCUCUUCGGUCCCAGCUUUGAUGCACCUGUACUGACCUCGCCUUCUGGAUGAUAGCGGGGUGAACAGGCAGUGGCUCGGGUGGUUGUUGUCCUUGAUUAUCUUUUUGGCCUUCCUGUGACAUCGGGUGGUGUAGGUGUCCUGGAGGGCAGGUAGUUUGCUCCCGGUGAUGCGUUGUGCAGACCUCACUACCCUCUGGAGAGCCUUCCGGUUAUGGGCGGAGCAGCUGCCGUACCAGGUGGUGAUACAGCCCGACAGGAUGCUCUCGAUUGUGCAUCUGUAAAAGUUUGUGAGUGUUUUUGGUGACAAGCUGAAUUUCUUCAGCCUCCUGAGGUUGCGCCUUCUUCACCACGCUGUCUGUGUGGGUGGACCAUUUCAGUUUGUCCGUGAAGUGUAAGCCGAGGAACUUAAAACUUUCUACCCUCUCCACUACUGUCCCGUCGAUGUGGAUGGGGGUGCUCCCUCUGCUGUUUCCUGAAGUCCACGAUCAUCUCCUUUGUUUUGUUGACAUUCUAUAUGAAGCAGAUUAGUUUGCAGUGUCAUUUCCAUCCAAGGAUCUUCCUCCAACUAUGUUACUUUGAUGAUUAACUUACAUAGGCCUUUAACAUAAUUAAAGGCCUAUGUAAGUUGAUCAUCAAAGUAACAUACAGUGAGGGAAAAAAGUAUUUGAUCCCCUGC
rnacentral:lncRNA from 1 species